rnacentral:rRNA from 1 species
UACGGAGGUGGCAAGCGUUGCUCGGAAUCACUGGGCGUAAAGGGCGCGUAGGCGGGGAGGUAAGUCGGGUGUGAAAUCCCUCGGCCCAACCGAGGAACUGCGCCCGAGACUGCUUCUCUUGAGUCCCGGAGAGGAAGAUGGAAUUCCUGGUGUAGCGGUGAAAUGCGUAGAGAUCAGGAAGAACACCGGUGGCGAAGGCGCUCUGCUAGGCCGCAACUGACACUGAGGGACGAAAGCUAGGGGAGCGAAUGGG